rnacentral:rRNA from 1 species
CAGGGAAUCUUGCACAAUGGACGAAAGUCUGAUGCAGCGACGCCGCGUGGGGGAUGAAGGCCCUAGGGUCGUAAACCCCUUUCAGUGGGGACGAAAAUGACGGUACCCACAGAAGAAGGUCCGGCCAACUACGUGCCAGCAGCCGCGGUAAGACGUAGGGACCGAGCGUUGUCCGGAAUUAUUGGGCGUAAAGAGCUCGUAGGCGGUUCGGUAAGUCGGGUGUGAAAACUCUGGGCUCAACCCAGAGACGCCACCCGAUACUGCUGUGACUAGAGUGCGGUAGGGGAGCGGGGAAUUCCUGGUGUAGCGGUGAAAUGCGCAGAUAUCAGGAGGAACACCAGUGGCGAAGGCGCCGCUCUGGGCCGUAACUGACGCUGAGGAGCGAAAGCGUGGGUAGCAAACAGGAUUAGAUACCCCCGUAGUCC